AAAUUGAAGAGUUUGAUCAUGGCUCAGAUUGAACGCUGGCGGCAGGCCUAACACAUGCAAGUCGAACGGUAACAGGAAGCAGCUUGCUGCUUUGCUGACGAGUGGCGGACGGGUGAGUAAUGUCUGGGAAACUGCCUGAUGGAGGGGGAUAACUACUGGAAACGGUGGCUAAUACCGCAUAACGUCGCAAGACCAAAGAGGGGGACCUUCGGGCCUCUUGCCAUCAGAUGUGCCCAGAUGGGAUUAGCUAGUUGGUGAGGUAAUGGCUCACCAAGGCGACGAUCCCUAGCUGGUCUGAGAGGAUGACCAGCCACACUGGAACUGAGACACGGUCCAGACUCCUA
rnacentral:rRNA from 1 species